AUGGUAGGAUAGAGGCCUACCAUGGUGGUAACGGGUAACGGGGUGUUAGGGCACGACACCGGAGAGGGAGCCUGAGAAACGGCUACCACAUCCAAGGAUGGCAGCAGGCGCGCAAAUUACCCAAUCCCGACACGGGGAGGUAGCGACAAUAAAUAACAAUACGGGGUUCUUUAGGAUCUCGUAAUUGGAAUGAGUACAAUUUAAAUCUCUUAACGAGGAACAAUUGGAGGGCAAGUCUGGUGCCAGCAGCCGCGGUAAUUCCAGCUCCAAUAGCGUAUAUUAAAGUUGUUGCAGUUAAAAAGCUCGUAGUUGAAUUUCGGGGUCAGUAGGUCGGUCGUGCCACUGGUAUGAACCGGUUUUACUGAUUCCUCCCUCUUGAAGAACUGUAAUGCCAUUAAUUUGGUGUUGCAGGGAAUCAGGACUGUUACUUUGAAAAAAUUAGAGUGUUUAGAGCAGGCUUUAGCUUGAAUACAUUAGCAUGGAAUAAUGAAAUAGGACGUUUGAUCCUAUUUUGUUGGUUUCUAGGAUUGACGUAAUGAUUAAUAGGGAUAGUUGGGGGCAUUAGUAUUCAAUUGUCAGAGGUGAAAUUCUUGGAUUUAUUGAAGACUAACUACUGCGAAAGCAUUUGCCAAGGAUGUUUUCAUUAAUCAAGAACGAAAGUUAGGGGAUCGAAGACGAUCAGAUACCGUCGUAGUCUUAACCAUAAACUAUGCCGACUAGGGAUCGGAUGAUGUUAAUUUUUUAAUGACUCAUUCGGCGCCUUACGGGAAACCAAAG
rnacentral:rRNA from 1 species